UAAGACACGGGGUAAACACAGCCAGGGCUGGAGCGGGGAUGACUCAGGCAUCGAUCCACUUGAGCUCCUCAAAAUUAUCCUCCUGUAACCAAUCCUUGUAGGAGAAAGCCCCGGCGAAGGGAGGGCAGGUGCUGUGAGCCCGUGCUCGGGUGGGUUAAAGCCCCUUCGGGAGGGUUCUGGGCACUGUCGGUGUCUGUCCCGUGUUUUCCAGCCCUGGCUGUGCCGUGCCAUGGAGCAGCAGUUUGGAAAAGUGCUCCUGCUCCACUGAGCCUGGCCCCUUCCAUGCCCUGCCAGCCCCAGUGAGCUCUUCUCUUUUGCUACUUCUGGACUCUGCCAGCACAGCACCACCACCUGCGGUAAUCUCCCGAGCAUCUGCCACUGGAGGUGACUCACCUGGGGCUGCUGUCACCAAACAGCUUAUCAGAGGCGAACGGACUAAUUAUUCCUGCUCCUCCUGAUGAUAAGAGGAUCCACUGCCAUCCCGCUCUCUGUCCGGCUCUUCCGCGUUGCGCUGGGCUGUCACAGCGGGGUUGGGCUUUCCCAACGGUCCUGCUGCUGCCAGACUGCGGAGCACCCACGGCCUGCAACUCCUCAGGGAGCUGUGCCAUCCUUGUGGCAGCUCACCCCUGCCAGCAGGGAUCCUGCCCGCUCCCACAGCCUGGCCAGGGAUCCACCUGUGGCUCUGCAGGUAAGGGGCACCCUCCCCACACUCACACUGAGGAUCCAGCCCCCCUGGGGGUGUGGGGACCUCGUCUGGCUGUGUCCUCAGCCCUCGUGCUCCAUGUGGUGCCCACAGAAUGUGGGAUGUAGGGUCCAGCCAGAGGCUGCCUGUGCUACUGUGGCAGAUUUCGGCUUGAACGAUGUUUUGGGCUGCAGCAGGGGGAGCUGGGCAGAGCUUGGGUCCCUGGUGCACCUGGCAUGUCCUGGCAGCCUCCCCAGAGCAUGCCAGAGCCAGCCCUGCUGCCGUGGAAGGAUGUGCUGCACGACAGGAGCAGCUCUUCCUCCUCUGAGGAUCCGAAGGCUCUGAGGAAGCAGCUCAGGUCUGCAGAUGUUGUGUCACAGCCCCGAGCCUCCGGGGCUUUGCUUCCUGGAGUGCAGCUGCGUUUGCAGCCAGUCACCCUGCCCUGCUCGCAGAGCCUGGCGUGACACAGGUUUCCGAGCAUCUGCCUCCACUGGGGUCAGGCACAGGUCAGGCCGGGCUGAGCCAGGGCUCUGAGUGAGCACCAGCAUCCCUGAGCCACACGGACAUCCUUGUACCCUGCACUGCCCGGCAAGGAGCGGUCCCAGGCACUGGGGAACUGCAAUUCCCAUUGUCCCCUCUGUGUUCUGCUGGCUCUGCAGCCCCGCAGGCCCCCGGCAUCGCCCCUGCUCUUGGCUCCGAGCUGCUCGCCCUGGGCAGGGCUGCUCAGGGCUUGGCUCCUUCCCUGGCCGCCCACUGCCACUGAUGUGGGGCACGGCAGGGUCGGAGGCUGUGCCUGGCAAAGCAGGGAGGAGUUUUGCCCCGGCUGCCCAGUUUCCAGCUGUUUAGGGUUAUACCUGUUUGUCACUUUUCCCUGCAGCCACAGGAGGUGGAUUUCCCCCUCUCUACAAACAGUUGAGUCCCAAGGGACGCUCUGGUUUGGGGCUUGGAGAUCAAACAGAGCUGUAAGUGCAUCCUUCUGGGACAUCUGACUGGGGGCAACUGGGGACGGCCACCCCUGUCCUUCCCUGUCCUCUGGGGUCCUGCCUGAGUCCCCAGGCCUGCGCCACAUUCCUGGCUGCUGGUCUUUGCCAGGAGGUGGCAAUGGGAG
ensembl:lncRNA